GACGAACGCUGGCGGCGUGCCUAAUACAUGCAAGUAGAACGCUGAAGGAGGAGCUUGCUUCUCUGGAUGAGUUGCGAACGGGUGAGUAACGCGUAGGUAACCUGCCUGGUAGCGGGGGAUAACUAUUGGAAACGAUAGCUAAUACCGCAUAAGAGUAGAUGUUGCAUGACAUUUGCUUAAAAGAUGCAAUUGCAUCACUACCAGAUGGACCUGCGUUGUAUUAGCUAGUUGGUGAGGUAACGGCUCACCAAGGCGACGAUACAUAGCCGACCUGAGAGGGUGAUCGGCCACACUGGGACUGAGACACGGCCCAGACUCCUACGGGAGGCAGCAGUAGGGAAUCUUCGGAAAUGGACGGAAGUCUGACCGAGCAACGCCGCGUGAGUGAAGAAGGUUUUCGGAUCGUAAAGCUCUGUUGUAAGAGAAGAACGAGUGUGAGAGUGGAAAGUUCACACUGUGACGGUAUCUUACCAGAAAGGGACGGCUAACUACGUG
rnacentral:rRNA from 1 species